GAUGUCUCCUGAAGGAAAGUGAAAUGUGCUAAAUAGCAUGCCAUUUAAGACAAUAUCUUUUCAGACAACUGGACCAAAUUUCCAUCAGGGCCGCCUUCACGUUGUGCCGUGCAUCUGAGGCUGGGCAUCUGGACGGAGGGAGGAGACUGACCACGCGGAAUUGUGGUGAGCUUUGUCUCACAUCAUUGUAUGAUGUGCUGCCACUGCUGUAAUGAAAAUACCUGGACUAUUUAAGCAGAUGAGUGGGUGUGGAAGUAGAAGAGAGGAAGGAAGCAGAGUUGUCUGGGCACUGCCCUGCUAGACACCCAGGCACAAUUGAUAACAAUAAUCAAAGUAAAGUUUGACACAGACCACAAAAAGAAGAUUAUUACAAAUCUGAACUUUUAACUUCAAAACUGGUUGCAUGACUUUUGGGUCUCUUUGCAGGAUUCCUUCACCAAAGAUCAAAAUGCAAAAGGUGGAGGAAGACUGGAAAGGAAGUUGUGAGGAAUGCAGAGAGGAUGUGGAGAGGAAUGAAGGGUGAUGUUCCGCUUAGGGAGUCAUAGCACCUCCACCCGAGGCCACUGAGGGGGGCUUUCAAGGAUGCCUUGGCAAAUUUGCAGGUGGCAAGACCAUUGAGAAGAUAUUUGGACCCUGGUGGCAGUUUUUUAUGGGUUCCUCAGCAGGGAUGAAUUAGCGCAAUUUGUGUUACAUGCAAUACAAGCAGGUUCUGGGGUAAACAAGAUAGAAUCAGGGAAUCUUAAGACACGUGUGUGUCUGCGUGGAGGUGAGGUCACAGGCAGAGAAGGCAGU
rnacentral:lncRNA from 1 species